AUUGAACGCUGGCGGCAGGCUUAACACAUGCACGUCGAACGAGUGGCGGACGGGUGAGUAAUGCUUGGGAAUCUAGCUUAUGGAGGGGGAUAACUACGGGAAACUGUAGCUAAUACCGCGUACCAUAGGAUGAGCCCAAGUGGGAUUAGGUAGUUGGUGAGGUAAAGGCUCACCAAGCCGACGAUCUCUAGCUGGUCUGAGAGGAUGACAAGCCAGAAUGGUACUGAGAAACGGGCCAGAAUCCGACGGGAGGCAGCAGGGGGGAAGAUUGCGCAAUGGGGGCAACCUGACGCAGCCAUGCCGCGGGAAUGAAGAAGGCCUUCGGGUUGUAAGGUUCUUUCGGUAGCGAGGCGUUAACUACAGAAGAAGCACCGGCUAACUCCGUGCAAGCAGCCGCGGUAAUUC
rnacentral:rRNA from 1 species